rnacentral:lncRNA from 10 species
CGCGCGAGCGGCGCCAGCUCGGGGCAGCGGAACCCAGAGAAGCUGAGGGGGCGGUAGCGGCGGCGACGGCGACGACGACGACUCCCGCGCGUGUGCCCAGCCUCUUCCCGCCGCAGCCGCCCUUUUCCUCCCUCCCUUACGUCCCCGAGUGCGGCAGUACCGCCUCCUUCCCAGCCGCGCGGCUUCCUCCAGACCUCUCGGCGCGGGUGAGCCCUAUUCCCAGAGGCAGGUGGUGCUGACCCUGUAACCCAAAGGAGGAAACAGCUGGCUAAGCUCAUCAUUGUUACUGGAACACAGCCAGGACACAGACGCGGAUGAUGGGGCCUUGCAGUAAGCAGCCUGACAGGAGCAAUGGCCACCAGCAGGUGAAGGGCAUCGCUGCCCCAGGCCUCAAGCCGGGCACCCAACCCUGGAUGCCACCCCCCAGCGGGUACCAGAGGAAAGCUGGCAGCAGGCGCCUCCUCCCCCAACGCAUCCCAGCCAGUGCCAUGUCCUCUGCAGGUGGAGUUACUGGCCUACUCCUUCCCCAUGAGCCCUCCCUGUCUGCACUGCCCAGGCCAGAGGGUAGAGCACAGGGGUUUCCCCAUACUACCUCCCCUCCCCAGGACACUCCCAGGCUUGGGUUUUUUCUAUAGGUUUGGCGGGGGGCCACAGGGAGGGGACCCUGACAAUAAAGAGAUUGGAUCCC